CAUUUGAAGUGUAAAGAGUCCUUAGAAGUUGUUUAUAACAAUUUGAUGAACUGGAGGAUCUACUCGAGUGAUGAAGGAACCUUGCAGCAGUCGAUGAACUAUCUAUUUGUGUGUGUGAGAAUCUGAAGUAUCUACCUGCAGUGGAAGCUCUGAAAUUGUCCCCAAAACAAAAAGAUGCACUGUGGAGAGCUGCCCUAGUGGCAAAGGUUUUAAUAAUCCUCUCCUUUCCAAGCAAGGACGAUAGUGCAAACAGUACUGAUACUUUGGCUUGGGUGACUUCAACAAAUAUGAAUGAAAAUCAAGUGGAAUGUUGCUCUUCUGCACUCUCCCUGCAGGUGUCUGUCUUCAUAAUGCUAAAAAGCAGAGUCAGCAUUCAAGAAGAAAUUCAUGAAUGCGCUAUGUGUGCCACUGCCAUGCAUGUUUUUGUCUCAUGAAAUUUUAAUUUGCACAAAUUGGGAAACUUCUUAUGGUGCAGCAUAAUCGGAAAACACUUUACUUGGAGGGCGUUUAUCAUGAAGAAGGCUCUUCCUAAUGAAGUCCUAAGACCUAUCUCUUACAAAUAAGAUAGUUUUAAGUCUUUUUAAAGCACGAAUAUAGCAGAAGUUUAUAAUAAAGCUUGUGAGUUUAGAAUGUAUUUGGGGUUCUUUGUUGAGAAAUGGGAUGAGAGAGAUAAAUUUAGAGUGAUUCUAAGAACUUUCCUUGCCGUUGUAAUGAUCUUCUACUCUUUUGAUUUAGUGGAUUAUGAACACAGUCAGCCGUGGCCGUAGACCAAUUAUGGUGGACCACGUUCAUUUUUGAGUUUA